rnacentral:tRNA from 1 species
ACCUGGGUGGCAAAAAUGGCUAAGUGGUGGACUACUAAUCCAAAGGUUGGUGGUUUGAAUCCACCCAGAAGCA